rnacentral:piRNA from 1 species
UCAGAAGAUACAGGUAGUCUGGGUGUGGGU